rnacentral:rRNA from 1 species
GUAUUUAAAGUCUGGCCUGCCCACUGAUAAUUUGAAGGGCCGCAGUAUACUGACUGUGCGAAGGUAGCAUAAUCAUUAGUCUUUUAAUUGAGGGCUGGAAUGAAUGGUUUGACAAGAAGUGUUCUGUCUCUUUUGUAUUUUUUGAACUUUAUUUCUAAGUUAAAAAGCUUAGAUGGUCUAGAGGGACGAUAAGACCCUAUAAAGUUUUAUAUUUGACUUUUGAAUUUAAAAAUAUUUGUUUAAUUAGAGCUAAAAGAAAAAUAUUUUGUUGGGGCGACAGAAGUAUAAUGAGAUUUUGUAACUGCUUUUUAUAUAUUUACAAUGAUUUUUGUUAUUUAUUGAUCCUUGUUAGAGAUUGUGAGGUUAAAUUACUUUAGGGAUAACAGCGUAAUUUUUUUUAAGAGUUCUAAUCGAAAAGAAAGUUUGCGACCUCGAUGUUGAAUUAAGGUNUCCUUUAUNAGAGCAGAAAUUAUAAUNNA